rnacentral:lncRNA from 1 species
CACAUUAGUUCAUCUAUCAUCCAUCCAUGGAGAAGGUGAACACGCGGCUGGUCGUGGUGCUGUUACUGGGCGUGCUGCUGGCAGGGCAGGCGGCCGGCGCCGCGGAAGAAGCGUCGUCGCCGUCGCCGCAGUUGGGCGCAAGCAAGGCUGACUGCGAGGUCUCCGGCACCUGCGAGAUGAAGGCGACGCUCGGCGCCGCCGACCCCACCCGCCCCGGGGCGGUUGCCAACACGUACACCCGCGGCUGCAGUGCGAUCAACCAGUGCCGCGGCUGAUAUCGCCGUCGCCUGCCAACGCCGUGCACGUAUUGCCGCCGCUCCGUCGUCCAUGCAUGCGAACGAAGCUGACUGCUGGUGGUUGUUUCCUAUGUGUCUCGAUUUGUAUGUUAUGAACAUAUUACUACAUCGUGCUAUGAAUAUACUUUGUGAUGAUGUACAUGUACAGGUGUACCACCAUCUAAUUUAGUGUAUUAAGGAUCGGACUUAAUAAAGGUCGGGCC